rnacentral:rRNA from 1 species
AAUGAACGUUGGCGGCGUGGAUUAGGCAUGCAAGUCGAGCGGCAGCAGGCCCGCAAGGGCGCUGGCGAGCGGCGAAAGGGAGAGUAACACGCGGGUACCUACCCUCAGGUCCGGGAUAGCUGCGGGAAACUGCAAUUAAUACCGGAUAACGUCUCCGGACCAAAGGUGUGAUUCCACCUGAGGAGGGGCCCACGUCCUAUCAGCUUGUUGGUGAGGUAAUGGCUCACCAAGGCUACGACGGGUACGGGGUGUGAGAGCAUGCCCCCGCUCACUGGGACUGAGACACUGCCCAGACACCUACGGGUGGCUGCAGUCGAGGAUCUUCCGCAAUGGGCGAAAGCCUGACGGAGCGACGCCGCGUGCGGGAUGAAGGCCUUCGGGUUGUAAACCGCUGUCAGAGGGGAACAAGUCCAUGGGGGUUCUCCCCUAUGGUUGAGUGAUCCUCAGAGGAAGCGCAGGCUAAGUCCGUGCCAGCAGCCGCCGUAAUAC